rnacentral:rRNA from 1 species
CACUGAUUUAUUAAAGAGCCGCGGUAUUUUGACCGUGCAAAGGUAGCAUAAUCAUUAGUGUAUUAAUUGUAUACUGGAAUGAAAGGUUUGACGAGAAAUAUACUGUCUCUAUUAUAUUUUUAUAAUUUUACUUUCUAGUUAAAAGGCUGGGAUUUUUUUUUUGGACGAUAAGACCCUAUAGAGUUUGAUUUUAAAUAUUUUAUUAUUUUGGGUUAAGUUGUUAAUAAUUAAUUUUAUUGUUAGUUUUGUUGGGGUGAUGUGAAUAAUAAUUAAACUGUUCAUUAUUUUUAUCAUUGAUUUAUGUUUUUUAUGAUCUUAUAUUAUUGAUAUAAAGAUAAAAUUACCUUAGGGAUAACAGCGCAAUUAUCUUUGAGAGUCCUUAUUGACAAGAUAGAUUGUGACCUCGAUGUUGGAUUAAGAUUAUUUUUUAGGUGAAGGUGCUUAAUUUAGUUGGUCUGUUCGACCAUU